rnacentral:rRNA from 1 species
GGGGAACCGGAGCUAAUACCGGAUAAUAUAUUGAACCGCACGGUUCAAUAGUGAAAGACGGUUUUGCUGUCACUUAUAGAUGGAUCCGCGCCGCAUUAGCUAGUUGGUAAGGUAACGGCUUACCAAGGCAACGAUGCGUAGCCGACCGGAGAGGGUGAUCGGCCACACUGGAACUGAGACACGGUCCAG